UUGGAGGGCAAGUCUGGUGCCAGCAGCCGCGGUAAUUCCAGCUCCAAUAGCGUAUAUUAAAGUUGUUGCAGUUAAAAAGCUCGUAGUUGAAUUUCGGGGUUUAUCCGUUGGUCGGGCUUUUGGGUCUGUACUGGCGUGAUGAAUUCCUACCUUCUGAAUAACCAGCAUGUCAUUAAUUUGGUGCGCCGGGGAAGCAGGACUGUUACCUUGAAAAAUUUAGAGUGCUUAAAGCAGGCUAUUGCCUGAAUACAUUAGCAUGGAAUAAUGAAAUAGGACGGCAUGGUUCUAUUUUGUUGGUUUCUAGGAUCACCGUAAUGAUUAAUAGGGAUAGUUGGGGGCAUUAGUAUUCAAUUGUCAGAGGUGAAAUUCUUGGAUUUAUUGAAGACUAACUUCUGCGAAAGCAUUUGCCAAGGAUGUUUUCAUUAAUCAAGAACGAAAGUUAGGGGAUCGAAGACGAUCAGAUACCGUCGUAGUCUUAACCAUAAACUAUGCCGACUAGGGAUCGGACAAUGUUAAUUUUUUAAUGACUCGUUCGGCGCCAUACGGGAAAC
rnacentral:rRNA from 1 species